rnacentral:lncRNA from 1 species
GCCUGAAGAGCUUCCUUUAGGAUUUCUUGUGAGACAAGUCAGCUUUUAUUUGUCUGGAAAAGUCUUUAUCUCACUUUUAUUUGUGAAGAACUGCUUUGGCAGCCGUACCCUCAAGAAGUGCACCUUCCAACCACCCUUAUAUGAGCCUGCUCCAAAACCUUGCCAGCCAGCACUUCCAGGUUACGACUAUUGACCUCCAGCUCCCAGUUUCAGAGAGUUCUCCCAGUCUCCUGGAUCACACUGGUCUGAAAGCUGUUUGGUAGACAACCUUCGAGUCUUUCUGCCUUCAUACUGUGGGUAUACCGUUCUCCCAACUGAAAACCCGUUUAUUUUCUUAUCUGUCUACUCAAAGCCUAACCAACACCAAAUGGCCUAGAAAUGCCACGUACCUACCAGUUGCCUCUUUCCUCCUCCAGCCCUUGUGAAUGUGAAUUCACAUCUCUGUUCUCUGUGUUCCUUGGCCACUUAGUACCAUUCACAAUAUCUCUCAUAGCUAGCUCUCUGCCUUAGGGCUGGCCCAUGGGACUAAAAUUCCUUGUGGUAGGUAUUUUUUUUUCAUAUUUCUAUUCUUAUAGCAUCUAGCAUAGAACAAACAGCCUAGUAUCUAGUGGGUAUCCAAUAACAACUUAUGCAGGUGAUUAGGCAAGAAAAAGAAAUAAAGCCUAUUCAAAUUGGAAAGGUGGAAGUCAAAUUGUCCCUAUUUGCUGGCAACAUAAUCUUAUAUAUAGAAGAACUUAAACACUCUGCCAAAAAUCCAUUAGAUGUGAUAAACAAUUCAGUAAGGUUGUAUUGUAUGUAUCAAAACAUCCCUAUGUAACCCAUAGAGAUGUAUAAUUAUUUUAUGUUGAUCAAAAAUAAAAUAAUAAAAGCUCUUAAUAAAACAGUCAUCUC